UACGAAGGGGGCUAGCGUUGCUCGGAAUCACUGGGCGUAAAGCGCACGUAGGCGGUUUGUUAAGUCAGGGGUGGAAUCCUGGAGCUCAACUCCAGAACUGCCUUUGAUACUGGCGAUCUUGAGUCCGGGAGAGGUGAGUGGAACUCCGAGUGUAGAGGUGAAAUUCGUAGAUAUUCGGAAGAACACCAGUGGCGAAGGCGGCUCACUGGCCCGGUACUGACGCUGAGGUGCGAAAGCGUGGGGAGCAAACAGG
rnacentral:rRNA from 1 species